CCAUGCAGAAGCUUACCAUGCAGUCGAGGGGUAUAUUUCUUCGGAGAUAGAGACCGGCGCACGGGUGCGUAACGCGUAUGCAAUCUACCUUUUACAGAGGAAUAGCCCAGAGAAAUUUGGAUUAAUACCUCAUAGCAUAGCAAUCUCGCAUGAGAUCACUAUUAAAGUCACAACGGUAAAAGAUGAGCAUGCGUCCCAUUAGCUAGUUGGUAAGGUAACGGCUUACCAAGGCUACGAUGGGUAGGGGUCCUGAGAGGGAGAUCCCCCACACUGGUACUGAGACACGGACCAGACUCCUACGGGAGGCAGCAGUGAGGAAUAUUGGACAAUGGGCGCAAGCCUGAUCCAGCCAUGCCGCGUGCAGGAUGACGGUCCUAUGGAUUGUAAACUGCUUUUGUACGAGAAGAAACACUCCUAUGUAUAGGAGCUUGACGGUAUCGUAAGAAUAAGGAUCGGCUAACUCCGUGCCAGCAGCCGCGGUAAUACGGAGGAUCCAAGCGUUAUCCGGAAUCAUUGGGUUUAAAGGGUCCGUAGGCGGUUUAGUAAGUCAGUGGUGAAAGCCCAUCGCUCAACGGUGGAACGGCCAUUGAUACUGCUGAACUUGAAUUAUUAGGAAGUAACUAGAAUAUGUAGUGUAGCGGUGAAAUGCUUAGAGAUUACAUGGAAUACCAAUUGCGAAGGCAGGUUACUACUAAUGGAUUGACGCUGAUGGACGAAAGCGUGGGUAGCGAACAGGAUUAGAUACCCUGGUAGUCCACGCCGUAACGAUGGAUACUAGCUGUUGGGGGCAACUUCAGUGGCUAAGCGAAAGUGAUAGUAU
rnacentral:rRNA from 1 species